GACGACGCUGGCGGCGCGCUUAACACAUGCAAGUCGUGCGGUGUGGAAGGCAAGUCUUACGACAAGCCUUCGACACAGCGGCGAACGGGUGAGUAACACGUGAGUAGCUGUCCUAAGGAGGGGGAUAACGCCUGGAAACGGGUGCUAAUACCCCAUAUGCCUCGCAAGAGGUGAAAGUGUACUUGCUACAGCCUUAGGGUGUGCUCGCGGCCUAUCAGCUAGUUGGUGAGGUAACGGCUCACCAAGGCUAAGACGGGUAGCCGGCCUGAGAGGGUGUACGGCCACACUGGAAUUGAGAUACGGCCCAGACUCCUACGGGAGGCAGCAGUCGAGAAUAGUCUACAAUGGCCGGAAGGCUGAUAGUGCGACGCCGCGUGAACGAGGGAGCCCUUCGGGGUGUAAAGUUCUUUUCUAUACGAGCAGUGCUAUAUAUAUGGAUAGUAUAUAUAGAGGGAUAGUAGUAUAGGAAUAAGCAACGGCUAACUCCGUG
rnacentral:rRNA from 1 species